rnacentral:rRNA from 1 species
AGGGUGCAGGGCGGAUGCCUUGGCACUAGGAGCCGAUGAAGGACGUGAUAAGCUGCGAUAAGCUUCGGGGAGUUGCACGUAAACUUUGAUCCGAAGAUUUCCGAAUGAGGAAACUCACUUAGAGUAAUGUCUAAGUAUCAUUAAGUGAAUACAUAGCUUAAUGAGGGGAACUCAGGGAACUGAAACAUCUAAGUACCUGAAGGAAGAGAAAGAAAUUCGAUUCCGUAAGUAGCGGCGAGCGAACGCGGAUUAGCCCAAACCAAUAAAGUUUUCUUUAUUGGGGUUGCGGACAUAUCAUAACGAAGAGGUAUCGUAAUUGAAGAGGUUUGGAAAGACCCACCACAGAAGGUAAUAGUCCUGUAUGUUAAACGAGAAGACUUUAGAUAUGAUCCAGAGUACCACGGGACACGUGAAACCCUGUGGGAAGCAGGAGGGACCACCCUCCAAGGCUAAAUACUACCUAGUGACCGAUAGCGUAUAGUACCGUGAGGGAAAGGUGAAAAGAACCCCGGGAGGGGAGUGAAAUAGAACCUGAAACCCUGCACUUACAAGCUGUGGAAGCACAUUUCUUGUGUGACCGCGUACUUUUUGUAGAACGGGCCAACGAGUUACGUUAAGUAGCAAGGUUAAGCACUUAAGGUGUGGAGCCGUAGCGAAAGCGAGUUUUAACUGAGCGUUCAGUUACUUGACGUAGACCCGAAACCGGGCGACCUACCCAUGAGCAGGAUGAAGCGAAAGUAAAAUUUCGUGGAGGUCCGAACCCACGAGCGUUGAAAAGCUCGGGGAUGACUUGUGGGUAGCGGUGAAAUUCCAAUCGAGCCCGGAGAUAGCUGGUUCUCCCCGAAAUAGCUUUAGGGCUAGCCUCAAGGUGAGAGAUACGGAGGUAGAGCACUGAAUGUCCUAGGGGGUAUUGCACCUACCGAAGACUAUCAAACUCCGAAUGCCGUCAUCUUAUACUUGGGAGUCAGACUGUGGGUGAUAAGAUUCAUAGUCGAAAGGGCAACAGCCCAGAUCGUCAGCUAAGGUCCCUAAAUGUAAGUUAAGUGGUAAAGGAUGUGGGAUUGCACAGACAACCAGGAUGUUGGCUUAGAAGCAGCCACUCAUUCAAAGAGUGCGUAAUAGCUCACUGGUCGAGUGAUCCUGCGCCGAAGAUUUCCGGGGCUAAAACUUACUACCGAAGCUACGGCAUCAGUAAUGAUGGGUAGGGGAGCUUCCCAUACGGGUUGAAGCAUGACCGUAAGGACAUGUGGACAGUAUGGGAGUGAGAAUGUUGGCAUGAGUAGCGAGAUGUGGGUGAGAAUCCCACAGGCCGUAAACCCAAGGUUUCCAGGGGAAGGUUCGUCCGCCCUGGGUUAGUCGGGACCUAAGCUGAGGCCGAAAGGCGUAGGUGAUGGACAACAGGUUGAUAUUCCUGUACUACCGAUAACCGUUUGAGAGAAGGGAUGACACAGUAGGAUAAGCUAAGCACACUGUUGGUUAUGUGUGCCCAAGCAUUGAGGCAGUCAAAGUAGGCAAAUCCGCUUUGAUAAUGCUAGGAUGUGAUGGGGAGCGAAAUUUAGUAGCGAAGUAGCUGAUUUCACACUGUCAAGAAAAGUCUCUAUCGAGGUUAAAGGUACCCGUACCGCAAACCGACACAGGUGGGUGAGGAGAGUAUCCUAAGGCCAGCGAGAGAACUGUUGUUAAGGAACUCGGCAAAAUGACCCCGUAACUUAGGGAUAAGGGGUGCCACCAUCAGGUGGCCGCAGAGAAUAGGCCCAAGCGACUGUUUACCAAAAACAUAGGUUUCUGCUAAGUCGCAAGACGAUGUAUAGGAGCUGACGCCUGCCCGGUGCUGGAAGGUUAAGGGGAUCUGUUAGAGCAAUCGAAGCAGUGAACUUAAGCCCCAGUAAACGGCGGCCGUAACUAUAACGGUCCUAAGGUAGCGAAAUUCCUUGUCGGGUAAGUUCCGACCCGCACGAAAGGCGUAACGAUUUGGGCACUGUCUCAACAACAGACUCGGUGAAAUUGUAAUUCCGGUGAAGAUGCCGGAUACCUGCGACAGGACGGAAAGACCCCAUGGAGCUUUACUGUAGCUUGACAUUGGGUCUUGGUACUACAUGUACAGGAUAGGUGGGAGGCUUUGAAACCAGGACGCCAGUUUUGGCGGAGCCAUCCUUGGGAUACCACCCUUGUAGUACUGGGACUCUAACCAUAGGCCAUGAAUCUGGUCUUGGGACACUGUCAGGUGGGCAGUUUGACUGGGGCGGUCGCCUCCCAAAAGGUAACGGAGGCGCUCAAAGGUUCUCUCAGUACGGUCGGAAAUCGUACGUAGAGUGUAAAGGCAAAAGAGAGCUUGAUUGCAAGACAUACAGGUCGAGCAAGGAUGAAAAUCGGACUUAGUGAUCCGGUGGUUCUGCGUGGAAGGGCCAUCGCUCAACGGAUAAAAGCUACCCUGGGGAUAACAGGCUUAUCUCCCCCAAGAGUCCACAUCGACGGGGAGGUUUGGCACCUCGAUGUCGGCUCAUCACAUCCUGGGGCUGUAGUAGGUCCCAAGGGUUGGGCUGUUCGCCCAUUAAAGUGGUACGCGAGCUGGG